UUUGAUGGCGACCGGCGCACGGGUGAGUAACACGUAUCCAACCUGCCGAUGACUCGGGGAUAGCCUUUCGAAAGAAAGAUUAAUACCCGAUGGCAUAGCUCUUCCGCAUGGUAGAACUAUUAAAGAAUUUCGGUCAUCGAUGGGGAUGCGUUCCAUUAGGUUGUUGGCGGGGUAACGGCCCACCAAGCCUUCGAUGGAUAGGGGUUCUGAGAGGAAGGUCCCCCCACAUUGGAACUGAGACACGGUCCAAACUCCUACGGGAGGCAGCAUG
rnacentral:rRNA from 1 species